CCCUUAGAUGUUCUGGGCCGCACGCGUGCUACACUGAGUGGAUCAGCGGGUCAGGUUGCGCGAAAGUGUUUCCUAAUCUUGAAAUCCGCUCGUGAUGGGGAUUGACGGUUGCAAUUUUCCGUCAUGAACGAGGAAUACCUUGUAAGCGCGGGUCAUCAUCCCGCGCUGAAUACGUCCCUGCCCUUUGUACACACCGCCCGUCGCUCCUACCGAUUGAGUGGUCCGGUGAGGCUUUGGGAUCUGAGCGGAAAGAGCGUUUCGCUGUUUCUGCUCGGAAAACUCAGUCGAACCUUAUCAUUUAGAGGAAGGAGAAGUCGUAAUA
rnacentral:rRNA from 1 species